rnacentral:misc_RNA from 1 species
UGGCUCUCGCAUCGAUGAAGAACGCAGCGAAAUGCGAUAAGUAGUGUGAAUUGCAGAACUUUGUGAACCAUCGAAUCUUUGAACGCAAAUUGCGCCUUCUUCCGGAAGGCAUGUCUGUUUGAGGGCACCAUUUAAUAAAUAAUGUGCAUGGGUUGUGUGUAUACUAUACGCAACGCAUGUACACGUCGAUGAGCUUUCCAAAAACGGUAGUUUUUGGUAGUGCAUAAUGAACAGCGUGGGCUUUUUUUUCAAUGCGAGUGUAAUAAAUUUUAUGACGCUUGUUGCGAAGGAAUGCCGCGCAAUGGGUGUGGCAAUUUACCCCUGCCCCAAUGCCACUCUUUCUUUUCGAAAGAAUAUUUAUCUUCAGGGCCUCAAAUCAGACAAGAGUACCCGCUGA